CCCUUAGAUGUUCUGGGCCGCACGCGCGCUACACUGAUCAGUGCAACAAGCAUCCGUCCUUGGCCGACAGGCCCGGACAAUCUUUGAACGCUGAUCGUGAUGGGGAUAGACUUUUGCAAUUUUUGGUCUUCAACGAGGAAUUCCUAGUAAACGCAAGUCAUCAACUUGCAUUGAUUACGUCCCUGCCCUUUGUACACACCGCCCGUCGCACCUACCGAUUGAAUGGUCCGGUGAAGCCUCCGGAUUGGCGUGCACCCUCGGGUGCUGCCGAGAAGUUGGCUAAACCUUACCAUUUAGAGGAAGGUGAAGUCGUAACA
rnacentral:rRNA from 1 species